UUAUGUUCAUAGGCUUUGUCUGUUUUCUUAUGCCUUGUACUGGCAUAAUCUUAUAAUCUGCUGCAUGUAGGAAUUAUGACUCUUAAGUAGCAUUGAUUUUAAGUGAGUCAAGCUGACUCUAGAAUCAAGAUGUGCUUUUAGAGCAGAUAACCUUAGUACUGAUAUGAUUCUGAGAGCACAAGUGGGCUUAUUUUCAUUAUUAUUUUCAAUUUGCUGACACAGAGCUUUUUAUUGGUCAAUCUGCAUGGUUUAAUGAUAGACAGUACAUUUUUUUUCAAUUUAUUGUAUCCAUAUAUGGGAAUUUUACUUGCCUGGUAACAGGAUUUUGUCUGGUCUUUAUUCCUUUUUUGGAACCUCAUUAUUCAUGAAGUUUGUUAUCAAUAUUUUUGUGAAGGCACUAUAUUGAGUAUGAUUGCAUUGUGGCCUUGUUGAAUUGAUCCACUUGACAUGAUUAAAAAAGUUCAUGUGAAUCUGCCAAAUGAGCCAGAAUUGCUCUUCAUUAUUCUGCUUUGAGCAACCACUUCUUUGAUUUUCAGCUUUACAUGUGCCAACCUCUAUCUUUAAUUUUAGUAUUUACUGGACAGAAGAAUUCAUCAAGAAUAUAUCUGAUUUUUCAAGUUGUAUUGCAGUUUUUGCCCUUGCAAA
rnacentral:misc_RNA from 1 species